rnacentral:rRNA from 1 species
UAAGGAAUAUUGGACAAUGGAGGCAACUCUGAUCCAGCCAUGCCGCGUGAAGGAAUAAGGCCCUAUGGGUUGUAAACUUCUUUUAGACGGGACAAAACCCCUUUACGUGUAAAGGGUUGAUGGUACUGUCAGAAUAAGCAUCGGCUAACUUCGUGCCAGCAGCCGCGGUAAUACGAAGGAUGCAAGCGUUAUCCGGAAUUAUUGGGUUUAAAGGGUGCGUAGGCGGACUAAUAAGUCAGUGGUGAAAGCCUGCAGCUUAACUGCAGAAUUGCCAUUGAUACUGUUAGUCUUGAGUACAGUUGAGGUAGGCGGAAUGUGUCAUGUAGCGGUGAAAUGCUUAGAUAUGACACAGAACACCGAUUGCGAAGGCAGCUUGCUAAGCUGUAACUGACGCUGAGGCACGAAGGCGUGGGGAGCAAACA